rnacentral:lncRNA from 1 species
GGGGCGGCGCCCGGCUUCCGGGUAGUGGCAGGUGAGGCCGCGUGGGGCCAGCGGCGGCUCCUUGCUGGUCUGUGGCUCUGGGCCCAAGACCCGAGCCUCCUACAGGGGCGGCCCCCUGCCUGAGGCGCGGGUGGGUUCCGACCUCCGAGAGCCGGUCUGGAAGCACUGAGGGGCCCCUACUUUUGCCCCCGAAGUCAGCGGGGCAACAGCCGCUCCCUUGCAGGAGCCGGGCCGUGGGCGGAGGGCCCCGGUGGGUGAGAUCGGUGACCCCCGAAAACUCCGACCAAAGAGCUGCAGCAAGAAAGGAGUUGGUUCCCACAAACCGCCCAGAGUCAAGUUCUGGAGGCUGAGAAGUUCAAGAUCAAGGUGCUGGCAGAUUUGACGUCUGGAAGAUAUGCUCCAUCGAAACAUGGAAAUGAAGUAAGAAAGAGCAAGACCUAGAUCCAAGAAACAUAGAGCCGACGAGUCUCCAGGAUGCAUUAAAUGGAGACUCAAGUUGUGAGCAGUACCUGAAAGGAAGCAACAUGUCCAGAAUGGAACAGAUCGCAAAGUUCCAGGAAGGAUUUCUUCAGGAAAAUUAAAUUGAUAGAAUACUUAAUUUGAAUCUCUUGAGGAAACUUGCACACAUUGGGAAGAAUUUGGAUUAAAUUAGCAACAAGUCCAUAAAAAUGGCUUAUUAGAAAGAACUUGUACUCAUCAAAAGCAAGUGAAAAAAGUGAAGCUCUUGAGGAAAUAUUUGCAAUAUAUACAAAUGACAAAUAAUAUCAAAAAUAUAAAAUGAACUUCUAAAAGUCAAUUAAGAGGACUGCAAAUAACCCAAUUAAAAAUAGGCAGAGGAUAUAAAGAAGCAUUUCACAGAAGGGUAAAUUGCAGAUGACCAAUAAAUACAGAGAGAUGUUCAAAAUUAUGGUGAUCAGGAAAAUACAAAUCAAGAUCACAAUUGGCAAAAUUUAAAAGACUUAUAAUAGCAAAUAUCAGAUAAGAUAUAGAUUCACAAAAUCUUCUAUGUAUUGCUAGUAAGAUUAAAAAAGAAAAAUGUGUUGGCACUACCUUGCAAAGCGGAAGAAAAACAUACUGAAGAAUGACCCAGCAAUUUCCUUUUAGAAGGAAAAAGAAAGUUUUAAAUAUAUAUAAUAAGAGAAAUGUAUAAGAAGUUUCACCACAGCAUUGUUCAGGAAGAACCUGAAAAUUACCUCAAAGCCACCCAUCAGUGGGAAAUGGCUGAAUAAACUGUGAUUGUUUAAGCACUUAAAAAAAUAAAUAAAUAUAUAGAUGAAUCAGAGUGAUUCUAUCAUAACUAGAAAAAGUAAAUCUCAAAUAUUACAUACAGUCUCAUGUAUUUAUACAAAAUUUUAUUUAUUUUAUUUAUUUUUUUUUUAGGGCCACAUCCAUGGAAUAUGGUGAUUCCUAGACUAGGGGUCGAAUCAGAGCUGUAGGCACUGGUCUACGUCACAGCAACACAGGAUCCAAACCACAUCUGUGACCUACACCACAGCUCACAGCAACACUGGAUCCUUAACCCACUGAGCAAGGGCAGGGAUUGAACCCACGUCCUUAUGGAUACUAGUCAUAUUCGUUUACCACUGAGCCACGACAGGAAUUCCUAUAUAAAAUUUUAAAAUAUUUUAAUCCUCCAGCUUUCUGUUCACUUAUUAGUCGUAUAUUCUUUUACUUAUUGUGGUUAUCCUAGAGAUUGUAACUUGUAUCAAUAUAUAAAGUCUAAUAUAAAUUAGCACUUUUAUCUCUUCCUGGACAAUUUAAAGACUUUUGAAAAAUCCUGUUUACCAUUCUUACAGUUUUCUAUUGUUGUCAUAUAUUUUAAUUAUCUCUAUAUUUUAAUCUCCACAAUACAUUUUGACAGUUGUUUUCUGCAAUCAGUUUUGACCUGGUUUACUCACGUAUUUAUCUGUUUUUUUGCUCUUCAUUCCUCUACAUUUCUAAAUUUCCACUGCAAUAAUUUUCCUUCUGCUUAAUGAACAUCAGCUAAUCUCAUUUUUUUCUCCAAGAAUCUGUUUAUCUUACUUCCUUUUUUAAAUAAUGCUUUUUCUGGGAAUAGAAUUCUAGGCUGGGAUUUUUUUUNUUUUUUUUUUUUUUUUUUUUUUUUUUUUUUUUUUUUUUUUUUUUUUUUUUUUUUUUUUUUUUUGUGCUGUGAAAAUAUUGUUUCAUUGUCUUCCAGCUUCCACUGCUUUUGUUAACUGGAUGUUCCUUUGAAGACAAUCUGUCAUUUUUCUCUUUCUCUUUGUCCUUGUAUUUAGUACUUAUAUUGAUAUGCCUAGGCCUGUAUGUGUGUGAAUUUUAUCUUGUAUGUAAUUUAUAAUAUGACUGAAUCUGUAGCUUGGCAUAUUUCAUCAUUUUUAGAAAAAAAUUAAAGCAUUAUUUCUUCAAAUAUUACUUCUGUCCAAUUUUCCUUCUUCGCCCCAUGUCUUCUGUAUUUCUUGCAGAAAGAACAAGCUACAAGAAAGAACAGAAAAAAAAUAUAUUCUUUUUUACUCUUUUUCUUUAUUGCUUCCUUUAGGAUGUUUUUAUCUGAUCUGUCUUCCAAUUCACUAAUUCUCUUUUCAACUAUUUUUAUUCUAUUGUUAGAUCUAUUCAUUGGGGUUUUCAUAAAAGUUACUGUUUUCACUUUUCAGAAUUUUUCUAUUCUUUCUUAUAGCUUCCAGUUCUUUAUUAGAAUUCUGUCUUGAGAAUUUUUUUUGAACAUAUGAAGUGUAAUAAUUUAAAGUCUAUCUUUGAUAAUUCUAUCAUUUUGAUCUCUAUUUUCACUUUUUCUUGUUUUUCAUCAUGUUUUCAUAUGAUUGGUUAUCUUUUUUUUCAGGGGCACACCCACAGCAUAUGAAAGUUCCCAGACUAGAGGUCAAAUCAGAGCUGCAGCUCACAGCAACACUGGAUCCUUAACACGCUGAAUAGGGCCAGGGAUCAAACCCACAUCUUCAUGGACACUAGUCAGGUUUGUUACCGCAGAGCCACAGUGGGAAUACCUGCUUGGUUAUCUUUUAUUGAAUGCCAGGCAUUUUUAUGUGAAAGCUUGUGCGGAUACUUUGAGGUCUAAAAUGAGGUUGUCCUGCUCCAAUGAAAAUUUGAGUUUCUUUCUAGAAGAUUGCUAAAGGCAUUGGCAAUAUUGGAUUGCCUUAAUCCCUUAGAGGGCUGAGAAAAUUCCAGCUGAGCCUUCAUCUCUGAGGGCUUGUCUAUUUCCAGCUCAUUCUUUACUCCUAGGAUUUAGCAUUUAUGAUCUCAGUCUAAAAAACCUGGAGGAUAUCCUAAACACCCUCCUCAUUGGUGAAGACUGAAGUCCAGUUUGGUCUGUUGGUCUUAUAUGUCUACAAGAAGCUUUGAUCAUCUAUUUAGUCACCUCUUCCAAAAUCAGCAGAUGAAUGAGAGGAAUAUAGCCUCAAAUUCCUUACGUCUCUAGGUUUCUUUCCCUGAUAAUGUUCUCACUAUUUUUUACUGUUUUGUUAUCUCUUUGAUAAUUUCAAGCAGAUUUUUGAAAAUAUUUUUGCUAAGCGUUUCAGCACGUUCUUAGUGAAAAGAUUGGUCCCAAUUAGAAAGUUUGCCAUUAAAUACGGCCCACAGAGAUAAUUUUAAUCUACUACUCUUCUGUAUCCUUUAUGCAGGAAUACAUAUAGAUGCAAUAAAGUUUUAUAAAGGAAUGACAAACAAAAGAUUCAGGACCAUGGUUAACUUAGAUAAAGGGAGGGAGAAAGGUGGAUUGGUUGUGGAUAGGGAGAAAAAAGAAUUAUGUAAGAAAGAAAAUAUAAUCAUAGUUUAUUAUGUGGUGAUAACAUUUAAUAGUGUAAGUACUGAGUAGUGAUCUAACUGAAAUCAUGAUAGGGCCAAAUUUGGGGAUUAAAAGUAUGUAUUUGUGUGGAGACACAGAGAGCAAGAGAUAACUGGAUCCUCAUCUUCUGUAUUGGGAAAUCAAUAGAUAACGCCUAAAAUGGGAACUAAGAAAGUAAACAAGAGAAUAUGCUACAAGAGUUCAAAAUGAUUGCCUGGAGAUGUGUUGUGGGAUUGGGAGUGAGAAAUGAAGUUUAUGGUAUGGUUUUUAAAGCUUCUUGACUCUUUAAACUUUUUAUAAAAAUCUCUAACUUUGGGAGUUCCCCUCAUGGCACAAUGGAAACGAAUCUGACUAGGAACCAUGAGGUACCAGGUUCUAUCCCUGGCCUCGCUCAGUAGGUUAAGGAUCCAGUGUUGCCAUGAGCUGUGGUGUAAGCGAAAGAUGUGGCUCAGAUCUGGCAUUGCUCUGGCUCUGGCAUAGGCCAGCAGCAACAGCUCUGAUUAGACCCUUAGCCUGGGAACCUCCAUAUGCCGCAGGUG